UACGUAGGUGGCAAGCGUUGUCCGGAUUUACUGGGCGUAAAGAGCGCGCAGGCGGUCGAAUAAGUCGAAUGUGAAAGCCCCCGGCUUAACUGGGGAGGGUCAUUCGAUACUGCUCGACUUGAAGGCAGGAGAGGGUAGUGGAAUUCCCGGUGUAGUGGUGAAAUGCGUAGAUAUCGGGAGGAACACCCAGGGGGAAACCAGUCGACUGGGCAUCUACUGACGCUGAGGUGCGAGAGCGUGGGGAGCGAACCGG
rnacentral:rRNA from 1 species